UACGGAGGGUGCAAACGUUGCUCGGAAUCAUUGGGCGUAAAGCGCACGUAGGUGGUUUGUUAAGUCGGGUGUGAAAGCCCUGGGCUCAACCCAGGAAGUGCACUCGAAACUGGCAGACUUGAGUACUGAAGAGGGUCGCGGAAUUCCCGGUGUAGAGGUGAAAUUCGUAGAUAUCGGGAGGAACACCAGUGGCGAAGGCGGCGACCUGGGCAGAUACUGACACUGAGGUGCGAAAGCGUGGGGAGCGAACAGG
rnacentral:rRNA from 1 species